UUGUCCAACCUUCGUCAAAUUCAUGUUCUGCCACUAAUUUGGCUCCCAACUGGAAGAAACCUUCAUUCUAGGCUUAGUGCUUUUAUAUGUGAUUUUGGCUGAUUUAUUUUCUGAAUAUAAAGUUUUAUGGUCCUUGAAAAGUAAAAAACUGCAGUGGAGGCAAGUGCCAGACUUUCUGUUACCACCUGUAUAGUCUCAUCAAUUGCAGACUUGAUCCUUCAUUCAAAAUUGCCAGUGGCAUUCAAUCUACAAAGAUUAGCCAGAGUGUGGAAAGGAUGAAAUGGAACCAUUUCCAGUGGUAUCCUGCAGACCUGCAAAAACCAGAAAACUGGGCCGCCCAGUGAACUGGUUGGCACUACCUGGCGAGGGACCAGAACAACUUGCCACUUCACUGGCAGAAUUCCAGAACUCCCUACCCUGCAGCCUCAACCUGAAGCAUCAGGUGAGAAGCCCUCUUCUACUUCAAGCUCAGACCCAGGAGAGAGCAGCCCUACUUCUUGCUGGCUCUGUAAACUGAGGGGUCAUCAAAAGAGACGGGUCAACGCUGGACAAGAUGCAGCCAGUGGGAGAAGGCAGGGUUGGAAGGACCAGGGUGAAAGGACACAGCUGCCAAGAUCCACGAAAGUCAAAUAGCUUCAUGGAGAACACAUAUGGGCAUUCCAGCCAAGAGCCAUACCUGAAUAUCUAAGUAACUGGCAGCAUCAGCCACCAGACUGUGAUCAGAGAAGGCAUCAAACCCUCUGGUACUCAAAGGGAGAAGAGUUUUCCAUUUACUUGUGAAUCUCAAUGGUUGAUGAAAGUAUCCAGGCCCAGACUGUACAGAGCUGAGAGUGACUCCAGGAGCUCAUCAUGCAGAUUAAAUGGACUUCAUGAAGAACUUACUGUGGUGUGGUUUGUGAUGUUGUAUUGUAUUGUGUUAUGGUUUCCUGGUGUAGGAAAUAUCUGAGACAUAUCUGAUUCUAUUUUUCUUGUCCAUAUUAACCAAAGCCCUUGCAGGAAUUCAUACCAGGUAGUUCAACUGGCAAGACCUCAGGAAGGGUCUACUUACUGAGGUAUAGGAAUGAUGAAGGGAAAGGACAAAAGAUGGUGAGGCGCCCAGAGACAAGUAACGAUGGGGAGCCAUUGCUGCCUUGUGACUAAGGAGACAAAGGAAACCAGGUUUGCUAUGGAAGUUCAUUAAGAGCUGGAACUGAGGAGGAGAGGCUGCUGGUAGGAGCUGUAAUUAUAACAGGAAUCAGACACUACCAUAGUCCUGGUGGAAAACCCUCUUGGCCUUUGAGUUCCUGCUGGUGCCACCCACUGCCCAGGCAUAAACAAUCCAUUGGGAGGUGGGGGGGGGGGUGUCUAAAUGUUGUAGACAAUAGGGAUCAUCACAGAGUGAAUGGAUUUGCAAAGGUAACCAGAGAAUAACCAGUAGUGAUCUCACCCACUGAGGACAGAGUAUUACUUGGCCUUACUACCUGUUUUGGUUUUCUGAAUGCAACUGGGUGAUGGUAGGCUGUCCAAUAGUGUUACAGGGUCCCCCUCUCCAGUUAUUCCUUCUCAUAAUCCCAAGUGGUGGAGAGAUGGGAGGACUGAUGGAUGGGAUAGGGGACAUGAGGGCGGAAGGAGAUAGAAUAGGAAGAGUAUCACAUGGGUAGAGAGAAAAGUAUGCAUGUAUGUCCUCAAUAAUUAGUUAUAAGCAUCCUUUACUCUCUUUUUUUUUGGGGGGGGGACUGUCUGGGGCCAACAAUCCCAGGGAGAAACAUCCAGAUGAAAGUUCAAUAGAGCAAUGAAGAAUAUGUGACACAGAAUUAAGGCCAGACCCUCCAGCAUGAGUACAACUCAGGAAGAUAGAAAAACCCACUGACAUUUCAGAACUUGUCAGUCCUGGUAAGUCAUUAUUUCCUUCCAGGAUCUAUUUUCAGUAGACCUCAAGAUGCACACCUGUAAGCAAUGGGGGCUGGGACCAAAUUGGGUGUACUAACCAAGAGGAUCCCUAGGAAGACAGCUUCUUCUGUUCCAAGGUUGUGUACUGCUUACGUGAAAGGGAGAGGUUAUCAGCAGUUUAACCAAAGCUUUCUUAUAAUCCUUCCUGUUAUGAAAAUGUAAGUACAAGCUGGGAAAUUUUCCUCAAGUGAUAAUGCUUUGCUAAAGAAAACAGCUUAGUGUUCUGAUUUUACUUCAGUUAAUCUUAGGCAUUUUAUAAAAAUAUAAAUUUAAUGUUUUAUCUAAAAUCGGAUAAGUAGUUCUAAUUCAGAUGAGGGGGCAGUGGUGGGGUGUGGUAGGUAGCUAUGUAUAUCAUCUUUAUAUUGUGGUUUCAAUGUGGGCAAAGUUUAACUCAUGUGUAUAUACUAAUAUAUAUUCACACAUAUAUUCAUAUACAUAUAUACACUUGACAUUAUCUAAAGUUCUAUUUAUGAUUAUGUUAAUAUUUUUAUUUUUAUAUAAUCCUUUUGCUUUUUCACAAAUUUAUUAGCAAAGACAUUUGAAAGAGUACUAUUUACUCAUUGUCUUAAACAUGUCAUAGGGAAGGUUUUUUUAAUACUAUUUUUAAUUGAUUAUAUUCAGCUUAUCUCCACUGCUUUGUAUAAAUCAUCCUGUAAAGACUUUUCACUUCCAA